CUUUAAAACAAUUAGAAAGAUGCUUGAAAACAGAAGCUUCUACAAUGUCUAAAAUGCAGGCUGUGCCCAGACUUGAGUAGAGAGGGGAGGGCUUAGUUGUUAAGCUAUGAAUGCACUUGUUCGAUGCUUUGCUUUUUCUUAUUUUUAUUUAUCUUGUUUUUUUUAAGAAGCUCAACAAUAAUGAGGAAACCACUGAUAAUUUUUUAAAAAAAAAUGAAUUUUCUGUUUAUUAAAUGUAGUAUUUGUUUAUUUCAGCCUUUUUGUUGGAAUAACUACGUCAAUAUUUAGCUACAAUGGGAGUCUGCUUUUUAAGAACCAUCAAGAACAUAAGAUUUCUCAUAACACCACUUCAUCAUCAUUUCGCUAUUGUUAUUUAUAAUUGGGGGGGGGGGGGGUGGAUUCAACUUGAAAAACAUUUUUACCCUUAAAUGCGUUAUACAAAAAUACAAAACCACUUUAUUGAAAUUAAUGUGCUGGUAUAAUUAAGGUGCUUUUUAAAGGUAUCAGAAAGUGAAAACAUGGCGCCAGAUAACGAGUAGGAGUUCCAGCCCACAAGCUGGAAUGUGGAUGAUCACCCCGGGUCCCCACGUGCUGAAGGCUACCGGUGGUUGGUGGUGGUGGUCCCGUUGCUCUCUCUCCCAUCUUGUGUGUCCUUUGGGGAAGGGGGAGGGGAGAAGGGUGAAAGAAUUACUUCCAGGGCACAUCAACUCGUUUCCUCAUCACCCUAACUGCCUCUCCGGCACCACUUCCCAGCCCCUCCACAGGCUGCCAACGGUCCCACCGCCGAGCCCGCAGGGUGAACGUGUUUGUGCACAGCACAGAGUGAGUGAAAUGAGAAGGGGUGUCUUCAAUAAUGCGGCAUUUAAGUUCUUAUGUUCUGUUUUCAUACAAAAAAUAAAAUACUGUUUUUAAAGAUCAAUACAUAUAUUUGUGUAAUUUUUGAAUUGCAUAAAUGAUUCAACUUAUUCCGAAGCCUUUGCAUCAUGUUGAAGUGCAAAAUGCUUUUAUUAAACAGAAACACAUGAUUCAAAAUCUUGCAUUUAGGUGCUGACUGGCCAGUGAACAAUUAAAAUAAAAAAUACAUCACCAUGCAGAAUGCACUUAUCCUGUUAUUCGGAUUUUCAUGGGCAAUUAGUCUAAAUUGAAAAAUUUCCGACAGAACAUGAAAGCAUCAAAAGCCUUUCGGCUUGUUCAAUAAAGGGGAGCGGGGCAGAAAGUGUUUGUUGUUCGGGGCUGCUGUGCUGCACAACUACAAUAGACGUACCUACUACAACGGUGUGCUGGAAAGAGCUUGCGGAAAUGAUGAUGACGAUGAUGAUGCUUUUUGUUUCCCGAACCACUUUUUUUCCGUUUUUUAAAGAAGAAGCUGCUUAUAAUAAGCCUAUAUUCUUCUUCUGUUAGGAUCCUAUAAAGCAAACAGAAACUGGACAAGAAUAGAUGAUAGAGAAACAGAAGGUCUGAAGAUGGAUGAGCCCUGUAGACCAUGCAGGAAAAGCCCUCACAUGCACAGCAGCAGCCACCACUCCCCUGCAUGUUUCUGGCUACCACACACCUAAUCAGUCCUGAUUAGAUGCACUGUGAGGGACGAGGAAGCCAGAAGUUUCCUUUGAGAAGUUCUGAUGACAGGACAGAAGAAAGCAAUGGGCUCUCUUAAAUAAAGCCUUCAUCAGGCUCUGGGAAGAAACAUGUGGCUCUGUUUAUGGCAGGGUAUACCAGUGUUCUGCUCUCCAACUGAUCUUGCAGUGUCAUCUUGAUUUACCUCCUUCCUUUAGCACGCUUUACUUCACAGCUAUUACUUUAACACCGUCAGCUUCAUAUAGACGCACGCUCAAGCUCCUCUGUAUGUACACAUGCACCUCUAAACUUAACGUAUUGUGGCAAGCACUCACACACCCAUCUACACAAACCAAAGAGAUCCAAAAUCAGCAUCAGCAAGCACAAUAGCAAUUAGUAAGGGGGACAAUUUAUUCACAUCUGGAGUGGAUUUGCUUGCCACCAGAAUACCCAGCAAUCUCUUCUUUCAGGGUCUGGCACAGUGGGAAAUGACUAUGUGUGUUUUUAUGUGUUUUGUUUAAAACAGAUGGGCGGUUUACAUUAGUGGGGAUGGGUGAUAAACAGCUUAGGAGGGAUGGUGGGGAACCACCAGGACAUCAUUGUCCCGUCCAGCUACACAGAAAUGGCUGAGCAUUCGACUGAAAGCUAGACAGAGACGAUACAUCUGCAUGAUGUAACCACUGAGCGUUUGGUGUGUGAUAAUUUCUGGGCAGAAGUUCUCUGCGAUGAGGUGGGGUGUCAAGUCACAGAGAGCAAACAUCAGAGUUCUGCAGGAGGUUGAUAAGGUAGAUGGGUGGAGCUGCAGAGCUGUCCAGUUACACAGUCAUCAGUUACAUCAUGAAGGCACUCUGCCCCAAAAAUUAUUUUAAAAAAGAGUUUUAAAUUAAUAGUUAAUGAAAAUACUCAGUCAUGAAAUGAUUUAUUUUUUUUGCUUUAUAUGCAAAAACAGGACAAAAACAACACUUAUUGAACAGAAUAAGUGUAUCUGAUAAUGUGCUUGAGGGAGUGUUUGUAGGUGUGCACAGUUUUAGUAAGCCCAGAGGUAAAAAUUUGUGAAAGAGAAUGAAAAAAUAAGAAAGGCAAGAUGAAUAACUAUAUAAAUAAAGCCAAUAAUAAUGAAAUAAGAAGAAAUGAAUAGUAGAAAGAUACUGUCAAGUUCUGUCUGUCUUCCAAGUCACUGCACUUAUAAAUAAAAGUCUGUUUCACAUAGUAACAUGUUGAAAUAAGCACUGUAAGAAACUCUGAGGGAAAGUGUUUAUAUUUACUACACUGUUAAAAAUGAAGUAAUGUAAAUAAUGUUAUAUUUAUGUAAUAAUUAUUGUAUGAAUUAAAUAUUGUCACUUAUGGCGUACCCUGUACAUUUGUCAGUAUUCUUGGCAAUACUGAGAAUCAAGUAGUUUUGGUGCAUAACUUAAUCAAACAGGAAGUGAAAGGAACAUACUGCAUAUCCAGGUUCAAAGGCUUGCAAGUCAGAGCACCUGCCUACACAUUUGCUGUUUAAAAGCACAGUAAUGUAAGUAUCAGUUAUAAGUUUACAAAACCGGUACAAAAAACAUUCUGAACCAUUUAAAAGGUUUUAGAAUCACUUGUAGCUUUAUCCAGAUGUUCAGAUGGCUUAGCUUAAUUAGUUUAAUUAUCUACUUACCUUUCAUUAAUGUCCGUUAUUGUGGGAACAACCAAAGUCUUAUGUUACAGUCUUCAUGUAUGCCACUCAGACACACUAGGGC